CCUACGGGAGGCAGCAGUGGGGCAUAUUGCACAAUGGGGGAAACCCUGAUGCAGCGACGCCGCGUGAGUGAAGAAGUAUGUCGGUAUGUAAAGCUCUAUCAGCAGGGAAGAUAAUGACGGUACCUGAAUAAGAAGCCCCGGCUAACUACGUGCCAGCAGCCGAGGUAAUACGUAGGGGGCAAGCGUUAUCCGGAUUUAAUGGGUGAAAAGGGUGCGUAGGUGGCAGGUAAAGUCAGAUGUGAAAGCCCGGGGCUGAACGCCGGUACUGCAUUUGAAAGUGUCCAGCUGGAGUGCAGGAGAGGUAAGCGGAAUUACUAGUGUAGCGGUGAAAUGCGUAAAUAUUAGGUGGAACCCCAGUGGCGAAGGCGGCUUACUGGACUGUAACUGACACUGAGGCACGAAAGCGUGGGGAGCAAACAGGAUUAGAUACCCGUGUAGUC
rnacentral:rRNA from 1 species